rnacentral:tRNA from 1 species
GCUGCGGUCGCAUAACCUGGUAUUGCGCCAGCUUGGAAAGCUGGUUCCUUCGGGAAUUCCCGGUUCGAAUCCGGGCCGCAGCG